GCGUCCUUGGUCUAACGGCUAGGAUUUCGGUUUUCCAUACCGAAGGUUCGGGUUCGACUCCCGGAGGUCGCA
rfam:Sporothrix schenckii ATCC 58251 unplaced genomic scaffold supercont1.3, whole genome shotgun sequence.